ACAUAGGCCUCUCCCAGAGCACGCCACUGGAUGCGAGCUUUCACCUCACUUGACUGAAAUUCCGUAUUGGUAAAUUCAGUGAAGUGUGGCGAAGACCUAAGUAAGCUGUCCCACCAAGAUCAGGAGAUAUUGGCAACGGCAUGCGUACUAAUCCACACCUACGGAUGCCGUCGCAGCAGUGAGUAGGUACCUAUUAUGUUUUGCAGCUAAUCAUAAAGGCCCACAUUCACUGGCGCACAGAUCCGCAGAUUUGUCGCUGGCGACAAGUCCGCGAAGAAAUCAGCGUGUGAAUGGGUAGGUAGGUGGGUGGUCUGGGUUCGCGAACGCUGAAUAAAGUUGACAAUCGACUGGAGUACAACUCGGGGUUCGUGUAGGUAGUGUGUGGCGAUGACGGAUUUGUCCACGGAAUGGUACGGCUCGCGGUGCGUGAAGUGAAUGGGGGUGCUAGGCCGCGUCCACGGCGGCGGGUAGAGCGGCGGCACGCACUAUUAUUAUCUGUGACUGCCGAGCCGUCGCCGCCGCCCACUCGCAUCGCAUCACCCGCUCAGCCCGCUUGCGUCGUGGACGCAGCCUUAGAAAUCUUAUGCGUGACAGCUACAUUAUUCUGAGAUAUGGACUAGUUAUUAUUAUGUGGGAAGCUUGUCGUUGGACCUUGACAUGAGACUUUGACAAGUUUGACAUAUCGCUCUACUCUGUAAUAACUCUGUAUUUUUUUCUUAUUUUUGGGGGAAUGUUGUUUGUUGUUGUGUUGAAUUAAAUUUUAUUUCUGUAAUGGUUUAUUUAUCUUACUCACAACACAACAGUUCAUAUCUGUAACUAAAUAGUAACUGAAAGGCUUACAGUCUUAAUGAAUAUAUAAUUUACAUAAGUGCGUUUUCUUUAAGUGAUUUUAGAGGAUCUAAAACUUACUACUAACUUUACUAAAUGUAACUAUGGAUGUGGAUAUUGUGGAUUUAGAUGCAGAUAUUGAGAUAGAUCCUGAUCUAUUCAUUAAAUGUCGUCUGUGUAUAGAAGAGAUUGGAUCUUUACAUAUACAUCAAUCACUGCAGGCUCAAAUUAAAUUCUGUUUCGAUAUUAAUGUUCAAGACUUUGACUACCUGUCUAAAUUAUUAUGCAAAAAAUGCAGAACUAUUUUGGAAGACUUUGCUACAGUAAAAAAGAAGUUCCUUGCAAACCAAACAAUAUUACUAGAUAAAGUAAAGUCAAAGGAAAACACACGGGAAGGUAAUCAAACAAAAGCAGAGUGUAAUCAUAUUAAAGGAAAACACAAGGAAAAUGCAGAUGAGGAAAGUGCUGAUCACGUAAAAGAGACCCGAAAAGAAGAAUUUAAAACAACAAAAAACACAAAGAAAAGAAUUAUAAGAGAUUCACUUUUUAUAUCAAGUGAUGAUGAAGACAAUAUCAGUCAUGGUCAGUAUGUCCGUCGUAGCAGUAAAAGGAGAAAAACUAAAAUCUUGCGUUCUACAGAAUCAUCAUGUGAAAAUGAAGUGGAGCUUGUAGCUAAGGAAAAAGAAACCAUUGAUGAUGACAAACAACUCUCAUGGGAUCAAUGUUAUCAAAAGUUGUACAUAUGCAGGUUUUGUGAUUACAAGGACUACACAAAAGAAGGCAUAAUUAUGCAUGGUAAAAUACAUUCUAAAUUGAUGGAUUCCUAUAAGAUUUUAAAGAGACAUUGCACAAUCCGAAUGGAAAAAAUUGAUGAUAGACCAAACGUAACUGGAGACGUGGUAAAUGUUGUCCUAAGCCUUGAUAACAUUGUCUCUGGUGCGAAUAAUAUUAGUUAUUACGUCAAAUAUAUUUUGCCUGAACAAUGUUGCGAGAGUAACCAAAUAUCUACAUUGAAAAAUAUUGCAUGUGAUUCUUCAAAAGAUAUAGUUACAAAAUAUCGUAACAGAAAUGAAACCGUUGUUCUUGAAGGUAGUAAAAUCCCAAUAUCUGAUGGAGAUAGCAAUACAAACAACAGUGUAAAAAAAACAAAAACUGUUUCGGUGUCAUCUGAUAUUCCAUGUAUUGAUAUUUUAGAUACUUCAUCUAAUGAUAGUACUGUGCAGUUGAAAGAUAAACAUAUAACAAAGAAUGAUGCAUUAAAAAUUAUUAAAGAUGUCUCUACUGAUUGUUUUAAAAACUACCGAGCGGGUUAUAACAAUGUUUCGCAAAAGAACGCAAAGAAAAAAAAAUUGAAUAAAAUUCUUCAAACGAAAUUAUUGAGAGUUAAAAAGAUGAUGCCAACAAAUGUACCCAGAGGUUCAAAAACACCUGAUCUUUUGACGUAUUUACAAUACAAAAAUGCUCGCAUAAACUGGAUACCUGUAUGCAAGAAUUUUUCUUGCAGAAUCGUUUCCGAAAUGACGCCACAGAAUACAAACGAAAAUUUUACAGGCUGGUAUGCUAUCAAAAAUAAUGUAGAUUUUGAAGUUAGAGAAAGAAUCCCAGAUGAUUUUCAAUGUGAUCAAAUCCCAGAGAAGCCCAAUGAUUUACAUAAGACAAUAGAAAAUAAGGAACUACAAACAAACAUUUAUGAACCAGAUAUUAAUAAUGUCGUUGACACAAACGCAGCCAGUGCGAAUGCCACAAGUGAAAAUUCUUCAACAACAGUUAUACCAGUUGAAAAUAAAAAUAUAAGACCAGCUGUAUCACAUCAAAUUGUGGACAUAAAUUUAGAGCAAGGCAACAAACUUCUCAAUACUAACCCUGUAGCUAAUCCCAAACAGCUUCAAAAAAUUAAAUUUGUACCUAUUUAUGAAGAGAAGGAAUCAGUAGAUUUAAAUGGUCCAUCGAAAACCACCGUGAUUGUCAAAGAUAGCUUACUUAAAAAUAUUCUUUCUCAAGGAUCGCCAUUAGUAAGACAGAACCAGCAAUCAGAGUUGCCUAUGCCUAUUAUAACGUCUACAACUUCCUUAGCAGAAAAGUUCAAAACCACACCCAUGAGACAAAAUAGUAUAGAGAUUAGUAAUAAAACUGAGGCACUAUCAGAUCAAAGUAAUGAAACGGAAAUUAGUAUACCACGAAUUAAAUGCAAACCAGUAUCAGAGUUAAUGCCUCAAUCAAUCCAACCUGUUCAGGAAGUGGCAAGUGUAAGCCUUGAUUCUGUAAUUUCAAAAAUGAAACCUAUUCCGUCUGGACAAGUAUCUUCUUUUACUGCUAACGCUCAAAGGGACACAAGGAAAGUUACAGUCAAUAGUGUUCACUUACGAAACUCGUCAUCAAUAAGUCCUAUUGAAUACUUUAAAAUUGUGCUAAAAAUGCACGGUCUGGAAUUGAUAACACAAGUAAAUUAUGUGUUAACCCAUGACUUUGUGUGUCUUGUAAAAUUUAAAGCAGUGUUUCCUGAUAAAAUAACUAUAUGGCUCUAUUUAUUUGCACACAAAAGUACAUUCUGCUUCAAGCUGAAGAAUUUGACGGGAGAAAUGGACCUGGACCUGCUGCCUCCUGCCUGGCAGAUGAAGAUCCUGCAAGUCUAUUGCGAAGUGUCGGAAAAUGUUCUGCAAUACUCUAGGACAUUAAAUGAAAGGAUCCAUAGCAACGCAAAGCAAUUUGUUGUACUGCUAAAAAAUAUUAAGUUUACGAUUACUCCAGUUUAAGGUGUAAUAAUAUUUACUUAUUAGAAUAAGUAGUUAGUGUAAAUAUCUUACUUCACUGAUAUGAGACGCUAAGAAAUAUAAUUAUGUGUAAGUAAUGAAAUUGAUAAGGAGUAAAUACCUGUAAUGUAAAUAAUUAAAUAUAGGUUACGUAUGUAGCUAAAAGUUCAUUAAUAUUAGCUUUUCGAAAAAAAACAGUUUUAUACCACUAACCUCUGUUAUUUUAAUUUUAGUACAAACUUACUUAAAUAUAGGUUAGGUAUUCGUAAGUUUUUUACAGACUAGCUAAAGGAUCAUAAAUAUCAGCUUUUCGAAGAAAAAAAACUGUUUUGUAGUUGUACUUACUUACAUAUAACAUGUAAUUAGUUACU